rnacentral:rRNA from 1 species
AAACUGAAGAGUUUGAUCAUGGCUCAGAUUGAACGCUGGCGGCAGGCCUAACACAUGCAAGUCGAGCGGUAGCAGGAAGUGCUUGCACUUCGCUGACGAGCGG